GACUUAGCUACGUAGGUGAGCCUGCGGAAGGAUCAUUA
rnacentral:rRNA from 1 species